rnacentral:rRNA from 1 species
CAGUAGCCGCGGGAAUACGUAGGUGGCGAGCGUUGUCCGGAAUUAUUGGGCGUAAAGGGCUCGCAGGCGGUUUCUUAAGUCUGAUGUGAAAGCCCCCGGCUCAACCGGGGAGGGUCAUUGGAAACUGGGAAACUUGAGUGCAGAAGAGGAGAGUGGAAUUCCACGUGUAGCGGUGAAAUGCGUAGAGAUGUGGAGGAACACCAGUGGCGAAGGCGACUCUCUGGUCUGUAACUGACGCUGAGGAGCGAAAGCGUGGGGAGCGAACAGGAUUAGAUACCCCCGUAGUCCCUGUCUCUUAUAC